GGGUGGGGCUGGCCAACUUCGUCUGCCUGACUCGGAAUGGCGCGAGACUUUGCGAGGCACCUCCAUGUACCAAAAAUAGGCCGCGGGCACUGCCGCGCCCAAAAAUAACCGCCCGAAGGCCGGGGCUCCAAGUUCGUCCAGCGGAAAAAGGCCACAAAAACGGGUGGGCUAUAGCCUUGGGGGGUGGGGCUGGCCAACUUCGUCUGCCGGACUCGGAAUGGCGCGGGACUUUACGAGGUGCCUCCGUCGCCGCGCCCAAAAAUAACCGCCCGAAGGUCGGGGCGCCAAGUUCAUCCAGCGGAAAAAGCCCACAAAAACGGGUGGGCUAUAGCCUUGGGGGGUGGGGCUGGCCAACUUCGUCCGCCGGACUCGGAAUGGCACGGGACUUUGCGAGGUGCCUCCGUGUGCGAAAAAAAGGCUACGGGCACAGCAGCACCCAAAAAUAACCGCCCGAAGGCCGGGGCGCCAAGUUCGUCCAGCGGAAAAAGGCCACAAAAACGGGUGGGCUAUAGCCUUGGGGGGUGGCGCGAGAAUUUGUGAGGCAACUCCGUGUGCUAAAAAUAGGCCGCGGGUACAGUCGUGCCCAAAAAUAACCGCCCGAAGGCCGGGGCGCCAUGUUCGACCAGCGGAAAAAGGCCCCAAAAACGGGUGGGCUAUAGCCUUGGGGGGUGGGGCUGGCCAACUUCAUCCGCUGGACUCGGAAUGGCGUGAAACUUUGCAACGCACCUCUGUGUGCCAAAAAUAGGCCGCGGGCACAGCUGCGCGCAAAAAUAAACGCCCGAAGACUGGGGCGCCAAGUUCGUCCAGCGGAAAAAGGCCACAAAAACGGGUGGGCUAUAGCCUUGGGGGGUGGGGCUGGCCAAUUUCGUCCGCCGGACUCAGAAUGGCGCGAGACUUUGCGAGGCACCUCC
rnacentral:lncRNA from 1 species